rnacentral:rRNA from 1 species
GUUGUGAGGUUAAGCGACUAAGCGUACACGGUGGAUGCCCUGGCAGUCAGAGGCGAUGAAGGGCGUACUAAUCUGCGAUAAGCGCCGGUAAGGUGAUAUGAACCGUUAUAACCGGCGAUACCCGAAUGGGGAAACCCAGUGUGACUCGUCACACUAUCAUUAACUGAAUCCAUAGGUUAAUGAGGCGAACCGGGGGAACUGAAACAUCUAAGUACCCCGAGGAAAAGAAAUCAACCGAGAUUCCCCCAGUAGCGGCGAGCGAACGGGGAGGAGCCCAGAGCCUGAAUCAGCAUGUGUGUUAGUGGAAGCGUCUGGAAAGGCGCGCGAUACAGGGUGACAGCCCCGUACACAAAAGCGCAUGUGCUGUGAGCUCGAUGAGUAGGGCGGGACACGUGGUAUCCUGUCUGAAUAUGGGGGGACCAUCCUCCAAGGCUAAAUACUCCUGACUGACCGAUAGUGAACCAGUACCGUGAGGGAAAGGCGAAAAGAACCCCGGCGAGGGGAGUGAAAAAGAACCUGAAACCGUGUACGUACAAGCAGUGGGAGCACCCUUUG